rnacentral:rRNA from 1 species
CGCGAAACCGGGCGAGCUACUGCAAGACGUAUAUUAGUACUGUUUAUGUAGCACAAUAAUUAUAGACCAUGCAGUAGGAGUGAUAUGCUUUCAAGUCCGGUGAUAUCUCGUUUACCCUGAAAUGUAUGUAGUACGGUGUCGAUCUCUCAGUGAUAAGGCUGAUAGAAGAUAUAUAAGUUUUAAAUUGAGUCUGUGUGCAGUCUAACCGCUGACAAAUAAGAGAAGUUAACAUUAAUAUUUAAACAAUAAUAGCCAGUAAGGGUAAGUAAUUAACAGAGGUUUUUAUUUAUACUGUUUGUAUUAGUAACUGAGGUACCGCUGAUGAACUCGGCAAUAUUUCCUUCACCUGUUUAUCAAAAACAUCGCCCGUAGUAUACAUUAUUGGUAAUGCCUGCUCAAUGCGUUGUAAAUAGCCGCAGUACCCUGACUGUGCAAAGGUAGCAUAAUCAUUUGGCUUAUAAUUGAAGUCCCGUAUGAAUGGAUCCAUGGGGGGAAACUCUAUUUACGGUAGAUAUUUAACUUACUGAGGAUGUGCAAAUUCGUCCAUACUAAAGAAUAGACGAGAAGACCCUAGAAAUUUUAAAAACCUGAAACCAAUUUUUUUUGUUGGGGCAACAUUGUAGCAGUUAACCUACAGUAAAAACAGGUCAUGUAAUGGUCAGAGUAAAUUACUCUAGGGAAUAACAGCGUAAUUUAGAAAAGUUUGCGACCUCGAUGUUGGACUAGGAAGCAGUUGCUUAGAA